rnacentral:lncRNA from 1 species
CAUGGAUCAGUUUUUAAACAACGUCCCUCUUCACAUGAAAAGGUCUGAAUGAAUUAUGUAUCCACCUGCUAAAGCUCUGGGGUUAAAGAAGUGAUCAGUAAUCAACAUUUAUUUCACACCUAGGCAGAAUGAUCACAACCGAAGGCUACUGUUCAGCUUCGUCUUCAAUUACUUCGAUUCUGCGCGGCCCGUAGAGUAGAACGUAGGCUAUAUGCCAGUCUCCUCCCCCAGAUAACCUCAGAAUGUCUUCAGGUGUGACAAUGCUGACUUUGUCAUCAUCAAACUUAAUCCACUCAUCUGUAAGAAGAACACAGGCAUUGCUUGUAACGGAGGGACGGCACCACGAAGAGAGCUGACAGUCUCUCAGCUCCCUCCUUUCCCCAUGCCCUUUUACUUUCUUUUCACCUUGUUUCCUUUUAACCCAGGACACGUAAUGCCCAGAGGAACUUGAUCUGCCCUGAUGCGUUAGCACUGCCUGCAGGUCGUAAUAGCCACAGUUAUUAGAACCAAUAUCGUCAGGAAAAGAAAAGGGCUCAUAUUUAACUUCUUUCUGCGCACCGUCGCUUUUACUCAAAUUCUUUGGCUGUUGAUUUACUUUUUUGUCUUCAAGAUCUUUGAAUUUUGAUCGGUAGGAAACCAUUUUUUCCUGAAGAUCUGGCGUACACAGCUCAUACACAUCCAGCAUAAGAGGAAAUUUCACAUCCUAAGAAGUAAACAGCAGAAAGAAAACGUGCACAAUUUCAUACUUUACGUGGA